AAAUUGGUAGCGCUGCGCGCUGCAGCUGCUGCUUAGGUCAGUAGUUUCUUGGGUCAUUGCGGUGUAGUGAUGAUAUGUUUGGUUUUAUGCUAGAGCUAAGUGGUGUAGUGAAUAUGUAUUUUAUAAUAGCGCCGAAGAAUCCUGGUAAGGAAAGUUCUACAUCGCUGAUACCCACCAACCUGCAAGAUGCCUGAAAUUCAGCAAAUGAGCAUCCGGAGAAGAACGGGUCUGCUAACUCGCAUGCCUGACUUUCUUUCUGAGUGGAUAGCUGAAUGAGUUCAAGUGAGCCCCCAAAACUUCUUCCGGGGCUCAGGCCAAGUCAAUGUUCUUCAACCUGUAAGUCACUGGCCCGGACAUUUAUCUACUAAGGUUACAGUGGUUACAGUGUUGCCAACUAAAAUACAGCCUUUUGCCCAAGAAGUUCCUGCAACUGGGGAAAAAAGUCCUUACAUCUCGUAACUUGCCUUCAUAUUUAUUAAAUUAGUUUUUUUCUAAUUUACUACUAACAAAGAUAUCAUAGUUACUAUAUAUUACUAUACCAUACAUUCUGCUGAACUUGAGUUGGUGUAUAAAGGUAGAAAAAGAAACAAGAAUAUCAGUUUAUACAGGAAUUAUGUUAUGUUUAUAAUUUUGUAUAAGAUGAAAUGAUCUUAAUGUGUUUAUAGAAAUAUCUUUUGACAGAAUGCUGUAGAAAGUAAUUAUGAAAUAAGAAAAAUUAUUGCUAAAUUACCUUCCUUAUGGUAAAAAAGCUAGGCAUUUUUUUGAGUAACUGAACAUAGGUUAACAAAAUAUAUUUACUUUUGGUAGUCUUACAUACUUUGAUUAUGAUCUGACAAGUUAGUUUCAUUAGCUGACGAAACAAAAUCGAUGCAGGUUUCAUUUUUAGUUUUAAGAUUACAGUUAAUAAACAAUAAUGAAUAUAA